rnacentral:rRNA from 1 species
ACGCUCGACACCUCGGAGGCAGCAGUGGGGAAUAUUGCACAAUGGGGGAAACCCUGAUGCAGCGACGCCGCGUGGAGGAAGAAGGUCUUCGGAUUGUAAACUCCUGUUGUUGGGGAAAAAGAGGAUGGUACCCAACAAGGAAGUGACGGCUAACUACGUCCCACGCAGCCGCCGGUAAGUACUGAGCGGGCGUGGCGAAGGACG